UGGGGAAUAUUGCACAAUGGGGGAAACCCUGAUGCAGCGACGCCGCGUGAGCGAAGAAGGCCUUCGGGUCGUAAAGCUCUUUUAUGAGGGAAGAUAAUGACGGUACCUCAAGAAAAAGCCCCGGCUAACUACGUGCCAGCAGCCGCGGUAAUACGUAGGGGGCUAGCGUUGUCCGGAAUCACUGGGCGUAAAGGGUUCGCAGGCGGAAUAACAAGUCAGAUGUGAAAGGCAUGGGCUCAACCCAUGUAAGCAUUUGAAACUGUAAUUCUUGAGAAGUGGAGAGGUAAGUGGAAUUCCUAGUGUAGCGGUGAAAUGCGUAGAUAUUAGGAGGAAUACCUGUGGCGAAGGCGACUUACUGGACACAAAUCUUACGCUGAGGAACGAAAGCGUGGGUAGCAAACAGG
rnacentral:rRNA from 1 species